rnacentral:tRNA from 1 species
CUUUUCAGGCACCUUAUU